GACGAACGCUGGCGGCGUGCCUAAUACAUGCAAGUAGAACGCACAGUUUAUACCGUAGCUUGCUACACCAUAGACUGUGAGUUGCGAACGGGUGAGUAACGCGUAGGUAACCUGCCUGGUAGCGGGGGAUAACUAUUGGAAACGAUAGCUAAUACCGCAUAAUAUUAAUUAUUGCAUGAUAAUUAAUUGAACGGUGCAAUUGCACCACUACCAGAUGGACCUGCGUUGUAUUAGCUAGUAGGUGAGGUAACGGCUCACCUAGGCGACGAUACAUAGCCGACCUGAGAGGGGGAUCGGCCACACUGGGACUGAGACACGGCCCAGACUCCUACGGGAGGCAGCAGUAGGGAAUCUUCGGCAAUGGACGAAAGUCUGACCGAGCAACGCCGCGUGAGUGAAGAAGGUUUUCGGAUCGUAAAGCUCUGUUGUAAGAGAAGAACGGGUGUGAGAGUGGAAAGUUCACACUGUGACGGUAUCUUAACAGAAAGGGACGGCUAACUACGUG
rnacentral:rRNA from 1 species